CGGCGAGUGAAGCGGCAACAGCUCAAAUUUGAAAUCUGGCCUUCUGGCCCGAGUUGUAAUUUGCAGAGGAUGUUUCUGGCAAGGUGCCUUCCGAGUUCCCUGGAACGGGACGCCAUAGAGGGUGAGAGCCCCGUCUGGUUGGUUACUGCGCCUCUGUGAAACUCCUUCGACGAGUCGAGUAGUUUGGGAAUGCUGCUCUAAAUGGGAGGUAUACGUCUUCUAAAGCUAAAUACCGGCCAGAGACCGAUAGCGCACAAGUAGAGUGAUCGAAAGAUGAAAAGCACUUUGAAAAGAGGGUUAAAAAGUACGUGAAAUUGUUGAAAGGGAAGCGCUUAUGACCAGACUUGGGCCGGUUGAUCAUCCACCGUUCUCGGUGGUGCACUCUGCCGGCUCAGGCCAGCAUCAGUUCGCUCCGGGGGAUAAAGGUAGCGGGAAUGUGACUCCUCCGGGAGUGUUAUAGCCCGCUGCGCAAUACCCUGGGGCGGACUGAGGUUCGCGUUCUGCAAGGAUGCUGGCGUAAUGGUCAUCAGUGACCCGUCUUGAAACACGGACCAAGGAGUCGUCUUCGUAUGCGAGUGUUCGGGUGUCAAACCCCUACGCGUAAUGAAAGUGAACGUAGGAGAGAGCUUCGGCGCAUCUCCGACCGAUCCUGAUGUUCUCGGAUGGAUUUGAGUAAGAGCAUACGGGGCCGGACCCGAAAGAAGGUGAACUAUGCCUGUAUAGGGUGAAGCCAGAGGAAACUCUGGUGGAGGCUCGCAGCGGUUCUGACGUGCAAAUCGAUCGUCAAAUAUGGGCAUGGGGGCGAAAGACUAAUCGAACCUUCUAGUAGCUGGUUUCCGCCGAAGU
rnacentral:rRNA from 1 species